AGCCAUACGAUCUCGACUGUUUUGUUGACUCCAAUGCUGUAAGACAUCCCAAGAAAAACCGUAUAAUGUACUCCGAAUAAAGGUACUAGUACCAGAGUACUCCUGGCCCAUCUCCUGAAAAGACACCGUCAAUUUCAAUUUCGACAAGAGUACUCUGACAAUAUUAACAAAGAGUACAAAAUUGAUCUGUGAAUAAUGAAGAUCAAUUAGAGUCUUAUGAAAAGAAAAAAAAAUCCUGACAGCUUACCAAGAUGGAUAACAUUGUGGGUACCCGAAUAAUCAAAAAUAGAAAGGGAUUUUUAUUGGUCGUCCAACAGUAAGUAUCAUCAAGGGCUGCUCUCAUGGCGACCCAAGAUAAAAACGGGCUCAUUGUCAGAGAGGAUCCUGACUCAUCUGGAUUAUCUCCAGUAAUCAGCUGUUUAAUGAAAGCCAGUCGUAACGGCGGUUGUCUUCCUCGUAAAUUCUAACCCUGUUCCACAGCAUCUCAGGAUGAACGCAGCAAGUGGAGACUUGCGUAUUUCCUCACCCCAUCCGAGCACCACGUAACCGGCUAUACUGGAGUUGGAGUCCGUGAAGAGGGCGAGAAAUACCAAGUUAUGAAGGUACAGUCCUUCCAUGAGGAUCCAGGAAUAAUUUGCCAGGAU